rnacentral:lncRNA from 1 species
AGAUGCCCAAGAGGAAGGGGAGCUCAACUGAAGGGAUGGUGAAGGAAGAGCCCAAGAGGAGAUUGGUGCAGUUGUCAACUAAACCUGCUCCUGAAAAAGUGGAAACAAGGCCAAAAAGGCAGCAGGAAAGAAUAAACCUUCGGACAAAAAAAAGUGCAAACAAAAGGGAAAAGGGGAGCAAAGGGAAAACGGGCUAAUCUAAAAACCAAAGACCAUUUACCUGCAGAAAAUGGAGAAACUAAACCAAGGAGAGUCCAGCCUCUGAUGAAGCGGUAGAGAAAGAAGCCCGGUCUGA